rnacentral:lncRNA from 1 species
UUAUCAAUUUGGAAAAAUAUAGAAUCCAAAUCGAAUCAAACCAAAUUGAUUUGCUACCGUACGUUUGAUUCAGUCGUUAGGUUUUCGUAUCUUUUUCUUUUCUUUUCUUGUUAUGAACUUACUUAUGAAUCGAAAAUUAUAGUUGGAGGUAGUGGUGAAAGUGGUUAAGAUAAACUCUUAUCGAAUCUGGCACCACGUUCAAUCGAAUGCGAAUACGGAUAUCAAAAUUUAUGCAUCAGCUUGUUCAUGUUCGGCUCGUU